rnacentral:rRNA from 1 species
UCCUACGGGGCGCAGCAGUGGGGAAUAUUGCACAAUGGGGGAAACCCUGAUGCAGCGACGCCGCGUGAGUGAAGAAGUAUUUCGGUAUGUAAAGCUCUAUCAGCAGGGAAGAUAAUGACGGUACCUGACUAAGAAGCUCCGGCUAAAUACGUGCCAGCAGCCGCGGUAAUACGUAUGGAGCAAGCGUUAUCCGGAUUUACUGGGUGUAAAGGGGGCGCAGACGGCGAUGCAAGCCAGGAGUGAAAGCCCGGGGCCCAACCCCAGGACUGCUCUUGGAACUGCGUGGCUGGAGUGCAGGAGGGGCG